GGUCUCAGAUGCUGUGGAUUUGGGAUAAAACAGGCUGCCUGACUCUUUCUGUUGGAAAUCCUGGACUGACCCUCUCUGGGCUUUCAUUCCUCAUGAGACGUUAAGUACCAUUUUGCAAGUUGAUUGUUUCCAGAUCUGCUGAAUGAGACACCUAUGUAUAUGAGGGGACAAGCAGGGCUCCGGGUAAAUCCUAUUGCUCACUCCAAAGACUGCUAAGGUGUAGCAGACCAAUACGAGCCAAAGGCGGUCCAGGAGCCUCACUGCCCAGCAGGAAUUAGACAUCUGUGAAACUGGAAAGCGUUAUGCGGUGGAGUCAGGACACCAACUCCCGGCUGGAGGCUGGGGCAGACACAGCCUCUGAGCUAUCUAGAAGGCGUAGCUCAUCUACUCAGGCGCCUGGAGUUCAUUCAUGGUGAGCACACCCACAGAUGUGAGGAGCACGGAGAACCUGCAGAGCCACAGGAGGGAAGUGUGAGAGCCAUGUCCGAGCCGAGUCUUUUGAGAUUUUAUUUUAAGCACAAGCACUUAUUCUCACCCUAGGGUGAGCCCCGUAGUGCUGCCAGCUGGAGUUCACCCUGUAUUCUUCAAGACAGCGUUACUUGAAGGAAUAGAGGAGGAGUCCCAACCUAAUCAACCAUGUCUGACGUGCAGCAGAGUCACUACUGAAAACCAGCUUCCACCCCAGAUGACAUCCAGAGUCUUCCAAAAGUCCACCAUCCCCAAGGUCAGAAAGCUGGCUCUGUGGGGAGUUGCCUACAGUCCAGGAAAACAUCAUCCCACCUCCCCAGGCUGGAGCAACUGAAUCUAGCCUCAAGGGAACAGCUGAUAAGCAGGCCUGGGAACAUCACCCGUCAAGGUCUCCAAAUGAAUGGGUAGAAGAUUUGCAGCUUCCAACGGAAAAAAAUAAAUAAAAAAUAAAAAAUGCCUCCCUUUAUCAUUCCUGGAGCCUGCCCUUGGCUGGACACAGCCGUCUCCAGCCCCUCUUCCCUGCAGCUGCAGCUAGCGGCUUCUGGAGCUGCCUGUCUUUCUUUGGGUUGACUUCUUCCAAGGGCUUUGGCUUUCUGGAGGAGUCCACGUCUAAGUCACGGUCCCCUGGGCUCAGUUAUAUAACACUAUUGAUCCCAGUUGGCCAGCUUAAGAAAAACACGACUAAUUAGAACCCGUAAAAACCUACACACCAAAUUAAUUCUGAAUUGCUCUGGUGACUUCCUACUAAAAAUGUUAUAAAUAGAGAUGGCCACCGGGCCUAUAUUUAGCCUGUGCUAGGCUACCUGGUAUUUAUAAUUAAGGAAGUCCAGAGGGAUAGAAUGGACAUUUUGUUGUUGUUGUUUUUUACAAACUGCUUUUCCCAUUUCAGUCACAUAGACACACAGUCACAUUCAGUUACUGCAGUAAAUACAGUCCCACCCGAGUUAAGACACCGCACAGUUUCUCAGUCCUUUUUAAAAUUAUGUUCUCCAGCACGUUACACACCCAAAUGGUGCAAUUAGGCUGGUCAACCUCCUGCAAAUCCCUGAAAAAAAAUAACAUUAAUUUUGAUUUUGGAGACUUCAUGUUUUCUUCCCUCGAGUUGCUGAAGCAAACAGCCCAGUUUCCGACGAGGAAGCUUGACUUAUACCCACUUGGCCUGCGCUGUCCUGCGUGUAGCUGCAACCUUUCUGAAACUGUACUCUGAAGACUUCCAUUCUAAAGAGCUUAC